rnacentral:tRNA from 1 species
GCGUCCAUAGCUCAGCUGGAUAGAGCAACGGCCUUCUAAGCCGUAGGUCAUAGGUUCGAGUCCUAUUGGGCGUGCCA